rnacentral:rRNA from 1 species
GACGUAGGGUGCAAGCGUUGUCCGGAUUUACUGGGCGUAAAGAGCGCGUAGGCGGCUCGUUAAGUGUAGAGUGAAAGCUCCGGGCUCAACCCGGAAACCGCUCUGCAUACUGGCGGGCUGGAGGUUGGCAGAGGCUUGUGGAAUUCCCGGUGUAGCGGUGAAAUGCGUUGAUAUCGGGAGGAACACCCAUGGCGAAGGCAGCAAGCUGGGCCACACCUGACGCUGAGGCGCGAAAGCGUGGGUAGCAAACAG